UUAGAAGGUGUUCUACCCUAAGCGAGAGGGUGUGUGACCCUUGGACCGCCUUCGUUUGGCCUUGGAGGACCUUUUGGAAGCUUAACGUGAGCUGGAUUGCGACCUAGUGGAGCUGAACUUUGGAACUCCUUGGACUGUUUUGGAGCCUAGUACUAGGUGGGUCGGACCUAACCAGAGCAAGUGGAGCUCCCCUAUGUUCUAUAUGUGCUAUAGAAUUGGUGUUGUUGUGCGCUUUUGUGUUUGAUAUAGGACUUGAGAAGUAAAUUGACUUGAAAUCUCUAUAAAGUAGAGAACACAUAUACAUGAACGUAUUUGUCUUUAUAUUCAAUUCAGUUGAAUGACUUAUGCGUAUUUAUCUUUAUAUUCAAUUUAGUUGAAUGACUUA